ACGAAGGGGGCUAGCGUUGCUCGGAAUGACUGGGCGUAAAGGGCGUGUAGGCGGUUUGUACAGUCAGAUGUGAAAUCCCCGGGCUUAACCUGGGAGCUGCAUUUGAUACGUGCAGACUAGAGUGUGAGAGAGGGUUGUGGAAUUCCCAGUGUAGAGGUGAAAUUCGUAGAUAUUGGGAAGAACACCGGUGGCGAAGGCGGCAACCUGGCUCAUAACUGACGCUGAGGCGCGAAAGCGUGGGGAGCAAACAG
rnacentral:rRNA from 1 species